GACACGUCUUGAUGGUGGCGUGUGACAUAGACCUUUUGAAAGAAGAGAUUGUUAUCUGCUAGUUUCUACUCUGUUCCCGCUGCUUCACUUGACCAGCCUUAA
rnacentral:sRNA from 1 species